UACGGAGGGUGCAAGCGUUAUCCGGAUUCACUGGGUUUAAAGGGUGCGUAGGCGGGGAGGUAAGUCAGGGGUGAAAUCUUCGAGCUUAACUCGGAAACUGCCAUUGAUACUAUUUAUCUUGAAUAUUGUGGAGGUAAGCGGAAUAUGUCAUGUAGCGGUGAAAUGCUUAGAUAUGACAUAGAACACCCAUUGCGAAGGCAGCUUACUACGCAUAUAUUGACGCUGAGGCACGAAAGCGUGGGGAUCAAACAGG
rnacentral:rRNA from 1 species